rnacentral:misc_RNA from 1 species
GAAAAACCCCUCUGUUAAGAAACACAGCAUCCGUACGGUUACAAUGUCUAGCGCCGAGCCUGAACGCGAGCACAGAGAAGAGGAAGAAGCCGCCGGAGCCGAAGACGAAGAUACCGGAGCUCAGGUUGCGCCGAUUGUCAGGCUCGAGGAAGUUGCCGUAACUACUGGCGAAGAGAACGAAGAUGCUAUCCUCGAUUUGAAAGCGAAGCUUUAUCGAUUUGACAAAGAGGGAAAUCAGUGGAAAGAGAGAGGUGCUGGUACUGUUAAGCUUUUGAAGCAUAAGGAAACUGGAAAAGUUCGUCUUCUUAUGCGUCAAUCUAAGACUCUUAAGAUCUGUGCCAAUCAUCUAGUUAUUCCGACGAUGACAGUUCAGGAACAUGCUGGAAACGAGAAGUCCUGUGUGUGGCAUGCCGCAGAUUUUGCUGAUGGUGAAUUGAAGGAUGAAUUUUUCUGUAUUAGAUUUGCAUCGUUAGAGAAUUGCAAGACCUUCAUGGAGACUGUCCAAGAGGUUGCUGAAUCACAAACGAAGAAAGAGGAAAAUGUGGAUGCAUCUAAUGCUGCUGGCCUACUUGAGAAGUUGAGUGUCGAAGAUAAGAAACCACAAGAGAAGAGCGAGGAAAAAACUGAAGAGAAGCCUACUGAUAAUGCAGAGAAAAAGGAAGAGACUGCUUCAGCCUGAGAGAUGUAUGUCAUGUACACCAAAUGUAGUUGGUGAGGUUUGUAGCACCUCCAUUUUUGCCAACCAAAUUUGGGUGUAGUCUGGUCAAGUGCAAGGGGUGUUUACUUCUUGGUGUUGCUUUGGGG